CUUGUACAAAGUGGUUGACCGUACCCUAAACCGACACAGGUGGACUGGUAGAGUAUACCAAGGCGCUUGAGAGAACUAUACUGAAGGAACUCGGCAAAUUGCAUGCGUAACUUCGGGAUAAGCAUGACUUCUAUCGGGGCAACCCUUUAGGAGUGGCACAAAAGAGGGGGUGGCGACUGUUUACUAAAAACACAGGGCUCUGCGAAGAUGCAAAUCGACGUAUAGGGUCUGACGCCUGCCCGGUGCCGGAAGGUUAAAAGGAGGGUGCAAGCUUUGAAUUGAAGCCCCGGUAAACGGCGGCCGUAACAACAACGGUCCUAAGGUAGCGAAAUUCCUUGUCGGGUAAGUUCCGACCUGCACGAAUGGCGUAACGACUUCCCCACUGUCUCCAGUAUAGACUCAGCGAAAUUGAAUUCCCCGUGAAGAUGCGGGGUUCCUGCGGUCAGACGGAAAGACCCCAUGCACCUUUACUAUAGCUUUACGCUGGCAUUUGUGUCGGCAUGUGCAGGAUAGGUGGUAGGCUUUGAAGCAAGGACGCUAGUUCGUGUGGAGCCAAAAGAUGAGAUACCACCCUUAUCGUCAUAGAUGUCUAACCGCGGCAUAACAGUGUCCGGGACAGCGUAUGGUGGGUAGUUUGACUGGGGCGGUCGCCUCCCAAAGAGUAACGGAGGCGCGCGAUGGUGGGCUCAGAACGGUCGGAAAUCGUUCGACGAGUGCAAUGGCAUAAGCCUGCCUGACUGCGAGACCGACAGGUCGAGCAGAGACGAAAGUCGGUCAUAGUGAUCCGGUGGUCCCGCGUGGAAGGGCCAUCGCUCAACGAAUAAAAGGUGCGCUGGGGAUAACAGGCUGAUGAUGCCCAAGAGUCCAUAUCGACGGCAUCGUUUGGCACCUCGAUGUCGGCUCAUCACAUCCUGGGGCUGGAGCAGGUCCCAAGGGUAUGGCUGUUCGCCAUUUAAAGUGGUACGUGAGCUGGGUUUAGAACGUCGUGAGACAGUUCGGUCCCUAUCUGCCGUGGGUGUAGGAAUAUUGAGAAGAGCUGACCCUAGUACGAGAGGACCGGGUUGGACGAAUCUCUGGUGGACCUGUUGUGGCGCCAGCCGCAUUGCAGGGUAGCUAAAUUCGGACGGGAUAACUGCUGAAAGCAUCUAAGCAGGAAGCCUCCUUCAAAACUAGUAUUCCCUUGAGAGCCGUGGAAGACCACCACGUCGAUAGGCCGGGUGUGGAAGCGUAGCAAUAUGUGAAGCUUACCGGUACUAAUAGCUCC
rnacentral:rRNA from 1 species